rnacentral:rRNA from 1 species
AUUGAACGCUGGCGGCAUGCCUUACACAUGCAAGUCGAACGGCAGCGGGCCUUCGGGUGCCGGCGAGUGGCGAACGGGUGAGUAAUGCAUCGGAACGUGCCAUUGAGUGGGGGAUAACGUAGCGAAAGUUACGCUAAUACCGCAUAUUCUGUGAGCAGGAAAGCAGGGGACCGCAAGGCCUUGCGCUCUUUGAGCGGCCGAUGUCAGAUUAGCUAGUUGGUGAGGUAAAGGCUUACCAAGGCGACGAUCUGUAGCGGGUCUGAGAGGAUGAUCCGCCACACUGGAACUGAGACACGGUCCAGACUCCUACGGGAGGCAGCAGUGGGGAAUUUUGGACAAUGGGCGCAAGCCUGAUCCAGCCAUGCCGCGUGAGUGAAGAAGGCCUUCGGGUUGUAAGCUCUUUCGGCCGGGAAGAAAUCGCGUGGGUUAAGUACCCUGUGUGGAGUGACGGUACCGGAAGUAAGAAGCACCGGCUAACUACGUGCCAGCACG